rnacentral:rRNA from 1 species
UACGGAGGAUGCGAGCGUUAUCCGGAUUUAUUGGGCUUAAAGGGUGCGUAGGCGGAGUGCCAAGUCAGCGGUAAAAAUUCGGGGCUCAACCCCGUCGUGCCGUUGAAACUGGCGCCCUUGAGUGGGCGAGAAGUAUGCGGAAUGCGUGGUGUAGCGGUGAAAUGCAUAGAUAUCACGCAGAACCCCGAUUGCGAAGGCAGCAUACCGGCGCCCGACUGACGCUGAAGCACGAAAGCGUGGGUAUCGAACAGG